rnacentral:rRNA from 1 species
GGGGUAAAAUUAAUUAAUUAAGGGGUAAUAAAAUUAAUUUUAAUAUAUGAAGGGGGUUAUAGUAUAUUAAAUUGAAAUAAUUAUUAAUUUUAUAGUUAAUUAGUAUUGUAAAAGAAAUUUGAAAUAUUUGAAAAUGAAUUUAUUUUAAAGUAAUUUUAAUUUAAUGUAUCUUGUGUAUCAGAGUUUAUUAAAUAUUUUUAAUAAAAAAAUUAAUUUCUCAAAUUUUAAAGAGUUAAUUAAUUAUUAAAGUUAAUGUUGAAUAAUUAUUUUUAAUAAUUAAUUUGAAAUGAAAUGUUAAUCGUUUUAAAAGAUAUUUAGUUUUUUUAGAAAAAAAUUUAAUUUUAAAUUUAUAUAAAAAAAAUUAAUUAAAUAUUUAAUUAAUUUUUAUUUUAAAUUUAAUAUUUUAAGGGAUAAGCUUUAAAUUAAAUAUUUAUAAUAUAAUUUAAUUUAACUUUUGAAAUUUUUAUAACUUAUAUUGUUAAUAAAUUUUAUUUUAUUAUAAAUAAUUUCAUUUAAUUAAAAUUUAAUUAAAAUUUAAUUUUUUAUAAAAAAAAAUUUUUUAACAAAAAAAAAUUGAUUAUAAUGAUAAAAUUAGUAUAUAAAUUUAAUUUUUAUAAUAUUAUUUUAAAAAUUAAUUAAUUAAAAGGAAUUCGGCAAAUAUAAAUUUAUAUUCACUUGUUUAUCAAAAACAUGUCUUUUUGAAAAUAAUUUAAAGUCUAAUCUGCCCACUGAUUUUUAUUAAAGGGCUGCAGUAUAUUGACUGUACAAAGGUAGCAUAAUCAUUAGUCUUUUAAUUGAUGACUUGUAUGAAAGAUUGGAUGAAAUAUAAGCUGUCUCUUAAUUAUAUAUAAAAUUUAAUUUUUUAAUUAAAAAGUUAAAAUAAAUUAAAAAGACGAGAAGACCCUAUAGAGUUUUAUAGUUAAAUUUUUUAAUAUUAUUUAUAAAUUUUUUAAUUUAUAAAAAAUUUAAUUAUUUUGUUGGGGUGAUAAAAAAAUUAAUUAAACUUUUUUUAAUUAAAUACAUAGAUAAGUGGGUAAUUGAUCCAAUUUUAUUGAUUAUAAGAAAAAAUUACCUUAGGGAUAACAGCGUAAUUUUUUUUUUUAGUUCUUAUAAAAAAAAAGUUUGCGACCUCGAUGUUGGAUUAAGAUAAAAUUUAAAUGCAAAAGUUUAAAAUUUUGAUCUGUUCGAUCAUUAAAAUCUUACAUGAUCUGAGUUCAAACCGGUGUGAGCCAGGUUGGUUUCUAUCUUUUAAAAAUAAAAAUAUUUUAGUACGAAAGGACCAAAUAUUAAAAUUAAAUUUAAUUUUUUGAAUUUUAUUAAUAAUAAAAUAAAUUUAUAAAGUAUAAAAUUAAUAUUU